GACGUAGGGUCCGAGCGUUGUCCGGAGUUACUGGGCGUAAAGCGCGCGCAGGCGGUUUCGUACGUCGGGUGUGAAAGCCCCCCGCUCAACGGGGGAGGGUCAUUCGAAACGGCGGAACUGGAGGCAGGGAGAGGUCGGUGGAAUUCCCGGUGUAGUGGUGAAAUGCGUAGAUAUCGGGAGGAACACCAGUGGCGAAGGCGGCCGACUGGACCUGUACUGACGCUGAGGCGCGAAGGCGUGGGGAGCGAACGGGAUUAGAAACCCCAGUAGUCC
rnacentral:rRNA from 1 species